GAUGAACGCUGGCGGCGUGCCUAAUACAUGCAAGUCGAGCGAAUGGAUUAAGAGCUUGCUCUUAUGAAGUUAGCGGCGGACGGGUGAGUAACACGUGGGUAACCUGCCCAUAAGACUGGGAUAACUCCGGGAAACCGGGGCUAAUACCGGAUAACAUUUUGAACCGCAUGGUUCGAAAUUGAAAGGCAGCUUCGGCUGUCACUUAUGGAUGGACCCGCGUCGCAUUAGCUAGUUGGUGAGGUAACGGCUCACCAAGGCAACGACGCGUAGCCGACCUGAGAGGGUGAUCGGCCACACUGGGACUGAGACACGGCACAGACUCCUACGGGAGGCAGCAGUAGGGAAUCUUCCGCAAUGGACGAAAGUCUGACGGAGCAACGCCGCGUGAGUGAUGAAGGCUUUCGGGUCGUAAAACUCUGUUGUUAGGGAAGAACAAGUGCUAGUUGAAUAAGCUGGCACCUUGACGGUACCUAACCAGAAAGCCACGGCUAACUACGUGCCAGCAGCCGCCGUAA
rnacentral:rRNA from 1 species